AUAUUGCACAAUGGGGGAAACCCUGAUGCAGCGACGCCGCGUGAGUGAAGAAGUAUUUCGGUAUGUAAAGCUCUAUCAGCAGGGAAGAAAAUGACGGUACCUGACUAAGAAGCCCCGGCUAACUACGUGCCAGCAGCCGCGGUAAUACGUAGAGGGCAAGUGUUAUCCGGAUUUACUGGGUGUAAAGGGAGCGUAGACGGCAAGGCAAGUCUGAAGUGAAAGCCCGGGGCUUAACCGCGGGACUGCUUUGGAAACUGUCUGGCUGGAGUGCCGGAGAGGUAAGCGGAAUUCCUAGUGUAGCGGUGAAAUGCGUAGAUAUUAGGAGGAACACCAGUGGCGAAGGCGGCUUACUGGACGGUAACUGACGUUGAGGCUCGAAAGCGUGGGGAGCAAACAGG
rnacentral:rRNA from 1 species